CACGUAGGAGGCAAACGUUAUCCGGAUUUACUGGGCGUAAAGCGCGUGUAGGUGGUUCUGUAAGUAGGGCGUGAAAGCUCCCGGCUCAACUGGGAGAGGCCGUUCUAAACUGCAGAGCUAGAGGAUGGUAGAGGGAGGUGGAAUUCCAGGUGUAGCGGUGGAAUGCGCAGAUAUCUGGAGGAACACCAGUGGCGAAGGCGGACUCCUGGACCAUUCCUGACACUCAGACGCGAAAGCUAGGGUAGCAAACGGGAUUAGAUACCCGGGUAGUCCCUGA
rnacentral:rRNA from 1 species